GCGGGGCGAGGCGCGGGCCCCACCCAGGGGGCGGGGAGAGGCGCGGGCGCCCACUGUCGUGCUGCUGUCGGCCCGCGGGGUUACUUAGGGCUCCGCCCGUCCGCUGCGUGCGUGAGUGCGGCUCUCGGGAACGAGAGGGAGUCAGGCAGCAGCGUGUUCCACGCUCCGGGGGAGGCGCGGGCAGAGGUGAAGGACAGAUAUGUAAUACUGCUGCUUCAAACAUGAGACCAUCAGGCAGCGAUACUCUACAGAACUGCUGUUAGGAUUGUACAGAAGUGCAAAGACAAAUGCAGUCCUGCUGUCUCCUGCAGCCCUACCUGUACUGCAAGCUAAGUCUCAGCUGUCUUCACCUUGCACCAUUUGUGUCCAAGAAUUUUAUUUCCACUUUGUCAUGUACAUAAAAGGCUCCUGUCUUUAAGUAAUAUGUUCCUUCCAAAGAGAGUUACACUGUUGAAAUAUAUGUACCUUAUGCAAAAUAAAUAAAUAAAUAAA